UAUGAGAAACGGCUACCACAUCUAAGGAAGGCAGCAGGCGCGUAAAUUACCCAAUCCUGACUCAGGGAGGUAGUGACAAGAAAUAGCAAACCGGGAACCUCAUGGUUUCACGGUAUUGCAAUGAGAACAAUUUAAAACCCUUAGCGAGAAUCAAGUGGAGGACAAGUCUGGUGCCAGCACCCGCGGUAAUUCCAGCUCCACUAGCGUAUAUUAAAGUUGUUGCAGUUAAAAAGCUCGUAGUUGAACCUCUGUCUGGGGCUAGUUUUGGCUUUGGUCAGGCUAGUUCUAGGCAUCCGCCUACAAGACUUAGAGGGCAUUCAGUUGUUCACUAGGAGGAGUAGGCAUUUUACUUUGAAAAAAUUAGAGUGUUUAAGGCAGGCAAUCGCCCGCAUAUAUUAGCAUGGAAUAAUAGAAUAGGACACUUUUCCAUUUCGUUGGUUAUUGGAAUCGUGUAAUGAUUAAUAGGGACAGUUGUGGGCAUUUGUAUUUAAUUGUCAGAGGUGAAAUUCUUGGAUUUAUUAAAGACAAACUAACGCGAAAGCAUUUGCCAAGGAUGUUUUCAUUAAUCAAGAACGAAAGUUAGGGGAUCAAAGACGAUCAGAUACCGUCCUAGUCUUAACUAUAAACUAUUCCGACUCAAUGUUUGACUGGCUUAUAUAACCAGUUGAGCGUUGUAUGAGAAAUCAAAGUCUUUAGGUUCUGGGGGGAGUAUGGUUGCAAAGCUGAAACUUAAAGGAAUUGACGGAAGAGCACAACCAGGGGUGGAUUCUGCGGCUUAAUUUGACUCAACACGGGGAAACUUACCAGGUUAAAACAAUAGUGGGAUUGACAGUUUGAGAGCGCUUUCUUGAUUGGUUGGGUGGUGGUGCAUGGCCGUUCUUAGUUGGUGGAGUGAUUUGUCUGCUUAAUUGCGUUAACGAACGAGACCUUAACCUGCUUACUAGACUGGCGAUCAUCAAUCGUUAGCUCUUCUUAGAGGGACUUUGGUUGUUUUAACUCCAAGGAAGUUUGAGGCAAUAACAGGUCUGUGAUGCCCUUAGAUAUCCUGGGCCGCACGCGUCAUACAAUGACUAGUUCAGAAAGUUUUCUCCUGACCCGAAAGGGGAUGGGUAAUCUUGAUAAUACUAGUCGUGUUAGGGAUCGAUCUUUGCAAUUAUAGAUCUUGAACGAGGAAUUCCUAGUAAGUGCGGUUCAUCAGACCGUACUGAUUACGUCCCUGCUCUUUGUACACACCGCCCGUCGCUUCUACCGAGUGGGUGGUCCGGUGAGAUAAUUGAACUUCGCAGGUAACUGAGAGGAAAGAUUAUCAAACCUAUCCACCUCGAGGAAGAAGAAGUCGUAACAAGGUU
rnacentral:rRNA from 1 species